rnacentral:rRNA from 1 species
UAACAUGAGAGUUUGAUUCUGGCUCAGGACGAACGCUGGCGGCGUGCUUAACACAUGCAAGUCGAACGAACGUAGCAAUACGUUAGUGGCGGACGGGUGAGUAACGCGUGAGGAACCUGGCUCUAACAGGGGGAUAACAACUGGAAACGGUUGCUAAUACCGCAUAAGACCACAGAGCGGCAUCGCUCAGGGGUCAAAGCUCCGGCGGUUAGAGAUGGCCUCGCGUACUAUUAGCUUGUUGGUGAGGUAACGGCCCACCAAGGCGACGAUAGUUAGCCGACCUGAGAGGGUGAUCGGCCACAUUGGAACUGAGACACGGUCCAAACUCCUACGGGAGGCAGCAGUGGGGAAUAUUGGGCAAUGGAGGCAACUCUGACCCAGCAACGC